CCUACGUUGUACCUCCUUUCUUCCUCUUUUUCCCUUUUCUCCCGCCUGCCCCCGCCACGUCGCGUGAGGGAUGACGGUCCUAUGGAUUGUAAACCUCUUUUGUCGGGGAGCAAGGCCCGCCACGUGUGGCGGGAAGGCGAGUACCCGAAGAAAAAGCAUCGGCUAACUCCGUGCCAGCAGCCGCGGUAAUACGGAGGAUGCGAGCGUUAUCCGGAUUUAUUGGGUUUAAAGGGUGCGUAGGCGGAAGGUUAAGUCAGCGGUCAAAUGUCGGUGCUCAAAACCGGCCUGCCGUUGAAACUGGUCUUCUUGAGUGAGCGAGAAGUAUGCGGAAUGCGUGGUGUAGCGGUGAAAUGCAUAGAUAUCACGCAGAACUCCGAUUGCGAAGGCAGCAUACCGGCGCUCAACUGACGCUGAGGCACGAAAGCGUGGGGAUCGAACAGGAUUAGAUAUCCCUGUAGUC
rnacentral:rRNA from 1 species